rnacentral:rRNA from 1 species
ACGAACGCUGGCGGCGUGCCUCGUACAUGCAAGUAGAACGCACAGUUUAUACCGUAGCUUGCUACACCAUAGACUGUGAGUUGCGAACGGGUGAGUAACGCGUAGGUAACCUGCCUGGUAGCGGGGGAUAACUAUUGGAAACGAUAGCUAAUACCGCAUAAUAUUGAUUAUUGCAUGAUAAUUGAUUGAAAGAUGCUAUUGCAUCACUACCAGAUGGACCUGCGUUGUAUUAGCUAGUAGGUGAGGUAACGGCUCACCUAGGCGACGAUACAUAGCCGACCUGAGAGGGUGAUCGGCCACACUGGGACUGAGACACGGCCCAGACUCCUACGGGAGGCAGCAGUAGGGAAUCUUCGGCAAUGGACGAAAGUCUGACCGAGCAACGCCGCGUGAGUGAAGAAGGUUUUCGGAUCGUAAAGCUCUGUUGUAAGAGAAGAACGGGUGUGAGAGUGGAAAGUUCACACUGUGACGGUAUCUUACCAGAAAGGGACGGCUAACUACGUG